UACUAUGGUAUGAUGUUGA
rnacentral:rRNA from 1 species